rnacentral:rRNA from 1 species
GACGAACGCUGGCGGCGUGCUUAACAUAUGCAAGUCGAACGCUGAAGCUCAGCUUGCUGGGUGGAUGAGUGGCGAACGGGUGAGUAACACGUGAGUAACCUGCCCUCUUCUUUGGGAUAACGCCCGGAAACGGGUGCUAAUACUGGAUAUUCACUGAUUCUCGCAUGGGGGUUGGUGGAAAGGUUUUUUCUGGUGGGGGAUGGGCUCGCGGCCUAUCAGCUUGUUGGUGGGGUGAUGGCCUACCAAGGCUUUGACGGGUAGCCGGCCUGAGAGGGUGACCGGUCACAUUGGGACUGAGAUACGGCCCAGACUCCUACGGGAGGCAGCAGUGGGGAAUAUUGCACAAUGGGCGAAAGCCUGAUGCAGCGACGCCGCGUGAGGGAUGGAGGCCUUCGGGUUGUAAACCUCUUUCGCUCAUGGUCAAGCCGCAGCUUUGGGUUGUGGUGAGGGUAGUGGGUAAAGAAGCGCCGGCUAACUACGUG